CUGAGUGGCGGACGGGUGAGUAACGCGUGGGUAACCUGCCCUGUACAGGGGGAUAACAGCUGGAAACGGCUGCUAAUACCGCAUAAGCGCACGAAGAGACAUCUCCUAGUGUGAAAAACUCCGGUGGUACAGGAUGGGCCCGCGUCUGAUUAGCUGGUUGGCAGGGUAACGGCCUACCAAGGCAACGAUCAGUAGCCGGUCUGAGAGGAUGAACGGCCACAUUGGAACUGAGACACGGUCCAAACUCCUACGGGAGGCAGCAGUGGGGAAUAUUGCACAAUGGGGGAAACCCUGAUGCAGCAACGCCGCGUGAGUGAAGAAGUAUUUCGGUAUGUAAAGCUCUAUCAGCAGGGAAGAUAAUGACGGUACCUGACUAAGAAGCUCCGGCUAAAUACGUGCCAGCAGCCGCGGUAAUACGUAUGGAGCAAGCGUUAUCCGGAUUUAUUGGGCGUAAAGCGCGCGUAGGCGGCUUGUUAAGCAAGGUCUUAAAUCUUGGGGCUCAACCUCAAGCCGGAUCUUGAACUGGCAGGCUCGAGUAUGGUAGAGGAAAGUGGAAUUCCCAGUGUAGCGGUGGAAUGCGCAGAUAUCGGGAGGAACACCAGUGGCGAAGGCGGUCUACUGGGCACCAACUGACGCUGAGGCUCGAAAGCAUGGGUAGCAAACAGGAUUAGAUACCCUGGUAGUCCAUGCCGUAAACGAUGAUUACUAGGUGUUGGGGGAUUGACCCCCUCAGUGCCGCAGUUAACACAAUAAGUAAUCCACCUGGGGAGUACGACCGCAAGGUUGAAACUCAAAGGAAUUGACGGGGGCCCGCACAAGCAGUGGAGUAUGUGGUUUAAUUCGAAGCAACGCGAAGAACCUUACCAGGUCUUGACAUCCGAUGCAUAGCACAGAGAUGUGUGAAAUCCUUCGGGACAUCGAGACAGGUGGUGCAUGGUUGUCGUCAGCUCGUGUCGUGAGAUGUUGGGUUAAGUCCCGCAACGAGCGCAACCCUUAUUGCCAGUUACUACGUUAAGAGGACUCUGGCGAGACUGCCGUUGACAAAACGGAGGAAGGUGGGGAUGACGUCAAAUCAUCAUGCCCUUUAUGACCUGGGCUACACACGUACUACAAUGGCGUUAAACAAAGAGAAGCAAGACCGCGAGGUGGAGCAAAACUCAAAAACAACGUCUCAGUUCAGAUUGCAGGCUGCAACUCGCCUGCAUGAAGUCGGAAUUGCUAGUAAUCGCGGAUCAGCAUGCCGCGGUGAAUAAGUUCCCGGGCCUUGUACACACCGCCCGUCA
rnacentral:rRNA from 1 species